rnacentral:rRNA from 1 species
GGGUGAGUAACACGUAGAUAAUCUGCCUCCAAGCCUGGGAUAACUAUUCGAAAGGAUGGCUAAUACCGGAUGAAGUUGCCUGGCAUAAGCUGGGUAAUGAAAGAUUGCCUCUUCUUGAAAGCAAUUGUUUGGAGAUGAGUCUGCGGACCAUUAGUUUGUUGGUGGGGUAAAGGCCUACCAAGACUACGAUGGUUAGCUGGUCUGAGAGGAUGAUCAGCCACACUGGAACUGGAACACGGUCCAGACUCC